CUUCUCCUUCUCUGUCAUAUCUUGUUUCGGAGGAUUUUUGGGUUCUUAAAUAUUUUGGGGGAUCUUGCGGAUCUUUAGCCGUUAUUUUUGGGAUUUUAGGGUUCUUUCACUUGUAUUUGGAUUUUUGUUCGGCUACUUGGUCUUUGAUUUCUUGAACUGGAGAUUACUUAAAAACUAUUAUUGUUGAAUUCUUGAAGACGAUUUAUAAGAUUCUUUGGUUGAUGAUUUGAUUUAGGUCUUCCGCCAACAAUUUGAUUUAUGAUUUCCAGAAUUUGGAAUGAUUUGUCUUAUUCGAGGACCUUUAAUUUACUGAUUUGGGAUUUCUUGGAAGGAAUAGGUUCUUCGGUCAACAAUUUGAUUUAGGGUUUUCAGUUUUGAGAAUGAUCGAUUUAUAGGGUUCUUGGUUGAUAAUUUGAUUAGGACCAUUGGCGAACAAUUUGUUUUAGGGUUUCCAGAUUUGGGUUUGAUUUGUUCUUAUUUGAGGAUUUGUGGUGUUCAAUUUACUGAUUUGGGAUUUGUUGAAAGGAAUAGAUCUUCGGUCAACAAUUCGAUUUACAGUUUGCAGUAUUGAGAAUGAUCGAUUUAUAGAAUUCUUUGGUUGAUAAUUUGAUUUAGGUCUUUGGUCAACAAUUUGAUUCAGGGUUUCCAGAGUUGGGAAUGAUUUGUUCUUACUUGAGGAUCUGUGACCUUUAGUUUACAGACUUGGGAUUUCUUGAAAAGAAAUAAGUCUUCGGUCAAAAAUUUGAUUUAUAGGAUUCUUUGGUUGAUUAUAUGAUUGAGGUCUUUGGUUAACAAUUUGAUUUAGGGUUUCCAGAAUUAAGAACGAUUGGUUCUUGUUUGAGGAUCUGUGACCUUUAAUUUACUGAUUUGGGAUUUCUUGAAAGGGAUUUAGAGUGUCCCUUGGCUGCUAGUUUGAUCUAGGUUUCAGAAUUUUGAUUUAAUUUGUUCCAGUCAUAUGGUGGAACUAGGGAUGCUUUUGAUAGAUGUUCUAGGGUUCUUAUAAGCUGGAUCAUAUGUUCUUAUUUGGUGUCUGCUGCCUUUNN
rnacentral:lncRNA from 1 species